CCUACGGGAGGCAGCAGUGAGGAAUAUUGGUCAAUGGUCGAGAGUCUGAACCAGCCAAGUAGCGUGAAGGAUGACGGCCCUGUGUGUUGUAAACUUCUUUUAUACGGGAAUAAAACGUGUUACGUGUCGGCUUUUGCAUGUACCUUAUGAAUAAGGAUCGGCUAACUCCGUGCCAGCUGCCGCGGUAAUACGGAGGAUCCGAGCGUUAUCCGGAUUUAUUGGGUUUAAAGGGAGCGGAGGUGGCUUGUUAAGUGAGGUGUGAAAGUUCGGGGCUCAACCCGGGCCUUGCAGUUGGAACUGGCAGUCUUGAGUACGAGAGAGGUAGGCGGAAUGCGUGGUGUAGCGGUGAAAUGCUUAGAUAUGACGAAGAACUCCGAUUGCGAAGGCAGCUUGCUGGAGCGAAACUGACGCUGAGGCUCGAAAGCGUGGGUAUCGAACAGGAUUAGAUACCCUUGUAGUC
rnacentral:rRNA from 1 species